rnacentral:rRNA from 1 species
CGAACGGGCACCUUCGGGUGUCAGUGGCAGACGGGUGAGUAACACGUGGGAACGUGCCCUUCGGUUCGGAAUAACUCAGGGAAACUUGAGCUAAUACCGGAUACGCCCUUAUGGGGAAAGGUUUACCGCCGAAGGAUCGGCCCGCGUCUGAUUAGCUAGUUGGUGGGGUAACGGCCUACCAAGGCGACGAUCAGUAGCUGGUCUGAGAGGAUGAUCAGCCACACUGGGACUGAGACACGGCCCAG